AUAGCGAAUUACUAUAUUUUUUAGGAAUGUAAAUUAUUUAGAGUUUGGAUAAAAUAGUAUAUCUAGUAACGUUAAAAACUCUGAGAUUUGGGAGAAAAUUGUAGUUUGCAAAUGAUAGAUAAACAAUUCGAUGGUAUAGAAGCACUUUUAGAAAUAGAGAAAAUGAAAAGAUAGCAACACAGAAGAUGCAUUAAGAAAUCUCGAAAGAAAGCUCAUAAACACACAAGGGCUGACGAAAGCAAAACUAAUCGAGCUAUAGUGGACUUAAGAAAAGAAAACGCAAUUAUGUGCAUCACAGAAACGCACCUUAAGUAGCAAAAAAAGAAAAAAAGAACAAAAAACUAUUCCCUACAAGACUCAAUGAGAGAUGAAGACGACACCAAAGGAGGUCUACUAAUAAUGUAUAGAUCCAAAGGAGAGAUCCAGAUGGAAGAAGAAAAGUCAGAACACAAAAGACCACUCUAAUAGUAGAGGGCGAUUAUAGAGCAGCAAAAUUGAACCUAAUCCUAGUCUCCAUGUCGUCAGCUAGUGAUAGAGGAUAAUAGGCGCCUUACAUGUUAGCAUCAGAGAAGACCACAGACCUGCCCGUGAUUGUCCUUGGGGAUUUCAAUGGGCAUUUAGGUUUCAUAGGGACACAAGAACUUGACCAAAAUGGAAAAUACGUUAUGGACCUAAUGGAAAAACAGAUAUACAUAUACAUAGUUUUGUGCAGCAACCAUAUCAGGAAAAUAAAGAGGAAGUGGCAGCUGCUGAUAUACUCUCAUUGGUAGAACUACUGAGGGAGGAGGAAGUGAAGAAUAGAAAACAUUCAUGGAAAAGAAAUGUGGUAUUUCAGAGAGGAAGAUACUCAAACAAACACAAACAAACAAAGGAGGAAUCAAACAAGCAAGGGAGGAGGAGCUGUUUCAGUGGAGUAUCCCACCUACUACUACUACUAAUAGGAGAGAGGUCGCGUCCGCCGUUGUUUCUACGGUCCGUCACGUCUUUCCCUGUGUGUCCCAUCGAUUGCCAAAACCUCGAAGCCAUUUUCGUGAGCCCCUGGCAAGUGGGCAAAGGACAUCUCAGUAUGGGCAGGAGGUCCAAAUCGAAGCAGUACUACUACUGCCUUCCCUCCACCACCUCCUCCUCCUCAGGGUCGUCUUCAGCUGCGCCCUCCUACUAUCAGCAGCGCCCAGCCACCUCCAGUCCCCUGGCAUGCAAUAUCUGCAGCAACACAUUCAGUGAGGACCACCUACCCAGAAUUCUUUGCUGUUCACACACAUUUUGCACCCAGUGCCUCCAGUGGGCCAUCUCAACGAAGAGAGUUUGUCCCACAUGCCAAGAGAGAAUUGUGGCAACUGCUGCAGAGGAGGUCAUGAUUAACAGGAACCUCCUUGCGGUUGCAAAGCGUCUUCUGUCUGUGCGCAAGGUGCCUGAGACUUGUACACCAAUUGAGGUGGAGGUUUCAUUCAUGCACACUGCACCCGAGGCUCCGUCAAGUUCUUCUGUGCGAACGGCACCCCAGGCUUUUCAAAAAGCAUCGAAGACUUCUGCAAAACGGAAGAAGUCGUCCUUGCGUACGGCAUCCCAGACUACUUGUGCAGAACAAAAGUCUUCUGAAUGUACGGCAUCCCAGACUACUUGCGCAGAACAAAAGUCUUCUGAAUGUACGGCAUCCCAGACUUCUCCCGUAGAACAGAACGAAUCCCCUCAGGCCUUGUUUGAGAGACAAAAGGCGGCUACCUUGAGAGCCAGUGCGAAAGCUCAAGAAGACCUGGAAGAGACGAAGAACAGUAUCCAGGGCAUCAUCAGCAGCUAUGAAGAGAUGAGGCGGGUCAUUCUGCAGACGAACGAAGGCAUCGACGGGUUGAAGGAUAUGAUGGAACACCUGCUGCUGUACAAAGAGCGCAUGUUCAGCGGCCUCUCUGAGGAGGACAGUGUAGAAGUGGAGGAGCCUUCUGGUUAAAAAGGUGUCCUGUAACUUAAAGUAACACAACGAUUUAAAAGACUUUAUACAGGUCUGGCUUUUCUCCUCAUAACUAACGAAGACCUUAUAGUAUGGCCUUCUCUAAGUAUAUUAAAAGUUAUUAUCUGUUAAGUCUUGGAAAACCUUUUGAGUCUUUUAUUUACUCUUGCUGCUUAUCACUGCAUAGAUACUCUUAUAUUUCAGACAGAUCGUAAGUAAUUGUCAGUGUUAACAGUUUGAGAACGAUUUGGAAUAAAGUUAUUAUGGGUAUCA